AUACGGAAGGUCCGGGCGUUAUCCGGAUUUAUUGGGUUUAAAGGGAGCGCAGGCGGAGAUGCAAGCGUGACGUCAAAUUUCGGGGCUCAACCCCGUCUCGCGUCGCGAACUGCGUCCCUUGGUUGCGGGAAGGGCAGGCGGAACUCGGGGUGUAGCGGUGAAAUGCAUAGAUAUCACGAAGAACUCCGAUCGCGAAGGCAGCCUUCCGGCCCGUCAACGACGCUCAUGCUCGAAGGUGCGGGUAUCAAACAGGAUUAGAUACCCUGGUAGUCCGCACAGUAAACGAUGGACACCCGCGGUUUGGCCUAUAUGGCUGAGCCGCCAAGCGAAAGCGUUAAGUGUCCCACCUGGGGAGUACGCCGGCAACGGUGAAACUCAAAUGAAUUGACGGGG
rnacentral:rRNA from 1 species